rnacentral:misc_RNA from 1 species
GACGAAGAACGCAGUGAAAUGCGAUAAGUAAUGUGAAUUGCAGAAUUCAGUGAAUCAUCGAAUCUUUGAACGCACAUUGCGCCCGCCAGUAUUCUGGCGGGCAUGCCUGUUCGAGCGUCAUUUCAACCCUCAAGACCCCUUCGGGGGACUUGGUGUUGGGGACCGGCACAGGGGCCUGCCUGCUUGUCUUGCAGCGCCCUCGCCGCCCCCGAAAUGAAUUGGCGGCCUCGUCGCGGCCUCCCCUGCGUAGUAGCACAACCUCGCAACGGGAACGUGACGGCGGCCACUGCCGUAAAACAACCCCAAUUUUAUUAGAGUUGACCUCGAAUCAGGUAGGAAUACCCGCUGAACUUAAGCAUAUCAAUAAGCGGAGGA